GCUCAGGAUGAACGCUGGCGGCGUGCCUAAUACAUGCAAGUCGAGCGAACAGAUAAGGAGCUUGCUCCUUUGAAGUUAGCGGCGGACGGGUGAGUAACACGUGGGUAACCUACCUAUAAGACUGGAAUAACUUCGGGAAACCGGAGCUAAUGCCGGAUAACAUUUGGAACCGCAUGGUUCUAAAGUAAAAGAUGGUUUUGCUAUCACUUAUAGAUGGACCCGCGCCGUAUUAGCUAGUUGGUAAGGUAACGGCUUACCAAGGCAACGAUACGUAGCCGACCUGAGAGGGUGAUCGGCCACACUGGAACUGAGACACGGUCCAGACUCCUACGGGAGGCAGCAGUAGGGAAUCUUCCGCAAUGGACGAAAGUCUGACGGAGCAACGCCGCGUGAGUGAUGAAGGUUUUCGGAUCGUAAAACUCUGUUAUUAGGGAAGAACAAAUGUGUAAGUAACUGUGCACAUCUGACGGUACCUAAUCA
rnacentral:rRNA from 1 species